GGCUCCGACUGGCAUUCCACAGAAGGAUAACAAAAACCAAAGCUCUUGUCAUCAUACUGAGACAAUCCAUAAUUAGUAUUAUUUGGAGUCAACAUAUCAACAAUCUUGGUGACAGUAACAUCUGCCAAAUUCUGCACUGCCUACAAACUCUGUUGCUGCUUCCACAAUGAUCUUCAAAUUGGCAGUUAGUUUUUCCACAAACACAGUCAGGUUGAUAACCAUUCCAAUGAAGGCUAUGAAGUCAAUAAGAUGACCUAUUAAGGUGUCCUUUCACAUGACACAUUUGUUAGAGCAAGAUUUCUGAACAGGUAUCGUAUCUGUGUCUAGACCUAAGCAACAUUUUCUACAGUAGUUUCACUUAUUCCAGGAGACUAUUAUCUCCAUCAUUCUGCCUGUUAUGCUCCCCAGUUUCUGUGUUGUUUUGGAUUUGUAUGUGUGUAUUUCAGGAAAUGGUGUCCUGGAUACAAAGCAGCUGAUUGGUCGGCCCCAUCGAUGAUUGGCGCUCUGAACCCACCCUCUCGUCAUGGGAAACAGCUGUUUUCAAUUACCAACUCCUUCUCCAGCUGGAUAAAAGCCAGUGUUCCUUUGUCAGGAGAAGAUUGAGCUUCUUGGAUGUUCUGUGUUGGUUGUAGGCGAGUGACAGUUUUGUUGAAAGUGUUUUGUAGCCACUACUUCUGAGGGAAGAAGGGGUUAGGCAUCUUGGCAGUGCUUAGGCAAAAGGCCUGUGGACAUACAUAACCUGUAGUAUUUACUGUCUAUGCACAGUAGGUAAGACCUGGGCAGACCACCCCCUGUAUUUUGGUUAGUGUGCCAGGAGGUGCUAAGAGGUUAGCACAGAUCAUCCAGGUCCACGACUUUAAUCAUCCCCAUCCACACUACCAUCCAUGUCGACCAGUCUAGCACAGCUGUUGCUAAAACCACCAACCACAAUUUAGAACGAUGGUCCUCCUGACCUCUCCAGUUCUGUUACUGGCAA